rnacentral:rRNA from 1 species
UACAGAGACUGCAAGCGUUAUUCGGAUUCACUGGGCGUAAAGGGUGCGCAGGCGGCCAAGUGUGUUAGGCGUGAAAGCCCGGGGCUUAACCCCGGAAUUGCACCUAAAACUACAUGGCUAGAGCAUUGGAGAGGGUAGCAGAAUUCAUGGUGUAGCAGUGAAAUGCGUAGAUAUCAUGAGGAAUACCAGAGGCGAAGGCGGCUACCUGGACAAUUGCUGACGCUCAGGCAACGAAAGCCGUGGGGAGCAAAAGGG